AACGAACGCUGGCGGCAGGCCUAACACAUGCAAGUCGAACGCCGUAGCAAUACGGGAGUGGCAGACGGGUGAGUAACACGUGGGAACGUACCCUCGUUCGGGAUAACUCAGGGAAACGUUGAGCUAAUACCGGGAUAAGUCCGAGAGGAGAAAGAUUUAUCGCCGAGGGAUCGGCCCGCGUCUGAUUAGCUUGUUGGUGAGGUAACGGCUCACC
rnacentral:rRNA from 1 species